rnacentral:rRNA from 1 species
GUUGAUUGUUCUGUAGACUUAUUCUUUUAGAAUAUAGUCUAUUUACUCAACUGCGUAAAGGAAGACCCUGGAGAUAUAGUGCACUUCUAGGUGAUAAUCUUCACAGAACCUCCUUGGUUCUAACCAAGGUAGUUGGAUCCACUAAACUCUUAGAGAAAUUAUAUUAAUAAACGAAGUGAAUUGAAAUAUCUUAGUAACUUCAGGAAAAGAAAUCAAACGAGAUUCUAUGAUUAGUGUGAACGAAAGUAGAAAAGCCUAAAUAUUAAGCAAGUAAAAUGGAUUAAUCUGUUUGAAUAUAGGGGAACCUUCCUCUAAGGCUAAAUAUGAUAUAUAAGCGAUAGUGAAUGAGUACCGUGAGGGAAAUAUCUUGAAAUAGUAGUUUUAUAAGCAGCUCAAGUUAAGUUUAAGUAAAAAACGAGAGCGUACCUUUUGUAUAAUGGGUCAGCAAGUUAAUAUUAGAUGCGAGCAUAGCACUAUGCCUAGAUAAACCGAUUAUGAAAUAAUGAAUAAGUAUCUAGUAUUAGACCCGAAGCCUAGUGAUCUUACCAUAAUCAGGAUUAUAAAAGUCCGAACGGGUUAUCGUUGUAAAGAUAUCCGAAGAAUUGUGGUAAGUUAGUGAAAGACAAUACUGACUAGGAUAGCUGGUAAAAAAUAGUGUGAGCGCCUAUUUAGGCCAGUAAGUAGAAGUGAACCUUCUGCUAUAAAUCAUCAAAUUGACGGGGAAGCCCUAAAGCAAUUUCAACCAAACAGAUGUGGUAACACAUUUGUGGCACAGGUAAUGACUCGUGGUAUGGUAACAUAGAAAUUGAUUUGCGAAAGUGAAUGGGUAAUCCGCAGCCAAGCACCUUAUGGGUGUGCAGUUCAUCGACUAAAUGUUGGUUGGCGCAAGCUUAAGAUAUAGUCAAGCCUCAUCUGAAAGGAUGCAGAAUAAUAAAAUACUUUUUUUAACAUAUUAACAAUACACCCUAUUUUUUUUUCUGCCUUUAAGGCCCAUAUUCAAUCCUUUAUUACCUUCAUAGAGAUUUAUAUUUAGAUCUUAUAUUGAAUAAUAGCCGAUAAACUAUCGUGAGUAAAUACCCGUAGCAGCUACAAGCAAGGUACACUGUAGAAAGGUACUCGGGCCUUAGGAAGGUUAGCACCCUAACCCUGAGUUAGAAUUGAAAGGAUAGAGUCUAUAGAGAUUGAAUAUGCAUUUUGCACAAUAUUAAUAAUAAAAAAGCUACUAACAUGAAUUUCUUUCUACAUUUUAAUAUAUGACUACGUCCUUACUCAACAAAACCGGUAAAUAAUUAUUUAGAUAUAAAAGCUAUAGUUAUUUACCGUAACUGCGAACUUGAAAAAGAUCGUAUACUUUUUGAUAAUAAAAAUAAACCAGUUGUAUAUCGUUGGAUUAAUAAUGUUAAUAAUAAAACUUAUGUUGGUAGUUCAGUGGGAAAGGUGUGUGUACAACACACUAAAUAUGCAUGUUUUUCAACAAGCUCAAAGCUGAACAAAAUUAAUCCUGACAAUAACUUAAGUCCAGUAGUUAUAUAUCCUGAUGCAGAUCAAAAUAAAUUAAUGAUACUAAAGGAUAAUAAAGACAAAGUAGGUAUUUACCGUUGAAUAAAGUAAAUGGUAAUACCUAUGUAGGUAGUAGUGUAAAUCUAUCACUAAGACUAAAAAAAUACUAUAAUUUUAGUUAUAUUGCUUCUGAGCUAUUAAGAGGUAAAAGCCGAAUUUAUAGCGCAAUAUUAAGUUAUGGUCACUCAAAUUUUCAAUUAGAAAUCUUAGAAUACUGUAUAGCUGAUAAUGUUAUAAGUAGAGAACAAUAUUAUAUCGACUUGUUAAAACCAGAAUAUAAUAUUAACCCUACAGCAGGUUCAAAACUCGGUUCUACUCAUUUAGCAGAAACUCUGUUAAAAAUGAGUAAAUCCGCUCAAGGGCGUAAACACUCUGAACUGACUAAAAAAUUAAUUAGUGAGGCAGCUAUGGGUAUAAAUAAUCCAAAUUAUGGUAAAACUCCUAGUGAAGAGACAAAAGCCCUGAUUAGUGUGGCUAGAUUAGGAAAGUCUCAGCUUUCAGAGUCAACCAAAGCUAAUAUGAGUGAAAAAACGGGAACAGCUAUAAGGGUUUUAGAUAUAAAGACUAAUGAAAUUUCUGAGUACACUUCGAUAACGAAAGCGGCAGAAGCAAUAGGUGUUACUCAACCUUCGCUUUCUUUUAGAUUUAAGAAUUCAUUUGUAGUUAAAAAACGUUAUCAAAUUGAAAAGGUAAACUCUAAAAAUUAGAUGUAAACCUAACUGCAAGACUAUAUAAGUAUUAUAGUAUCAAACACUUAACUAAGUAUAAAACUCCUAUACACAGUGCUCUUUUAAAAUAUGGAUUUAAUAAUUUUAGUCUACCCCCGGAUCCGCCAGGGUUGGACCGCCUCCGCGUGCGCGGGGCAGUCUAUAAAUUUUAGAAUAUUAUUUUGGUCUCUUAAAACCUGAAUAUAAUAUAUUAGAAAUAGCAGGUUCAUCUUUAGGCUUCAAACAUAGCGAAGAAACCUUAGAAUUUUUUAAGAAUAAUCGUAAAGUGAGCGAAGCUACAAAAAAUAAUCUAUCUUUGGCAGCAACAGGUAUAAUAUUAACUGAAAGUGAUAAAAACAAAAUAUCUAUAGCACGUAAAGGUAUUAAGCUUUCAGAUGAAACACGUGCUAAGAUUUCAACAGCUACUAUAGCACUUAUAGGUGUAUCAGUUAUAGUAAAAGAUGUAAAUUCUAAUACAGAAUUAGAAUAUGCAAGCUUAACUGAUGCAGCUAAAGCGAUAGGUGUUAGUAGAACAGCUGUAAAAAAAGCUCUUGAUACAGGUAGAACUUCUCUCUCUGCGAGAGAGAGGUUCCACGCCCCCAGGGGGGGGGCUAGAACUGUAAAAGGAUAAUAUAUAGUGGCCACAAAAAAAGUAUUUUAUUAUUUGUUAAAUGGAUAGCUAAUAGCUAUUUAGGGAGAAGGACCUCAGCUCGGCCUGAUUUUCUUCAUUUAUAUAUAAAUGAAGAAAAUCAAAAGGCUAAAGAGGUAGAUCUGUUUCCGCGAAACCUAUAUAAGUAGGUAAUUCAAGUAACAUCUUAGCAGGUACAGAACUGUGAUCUCAGGCAAAAUUUAUUAUCUUAGGUUAUUAAGAUAAUAGUUUUGCAUACAUCGGGGGAUCGUGAAGAUUUUAUCGGUGAGUAUUUGCUCUCGGAAGGGCAAAGAUGAAUAUUGAAUAAUCAGACAUAGUACGAUAAGGUUGUAUGUCUAAAGGGAAACAGCCCAGAACAAGUGUUUAAGGUUCCAAAAUUAUUGUUAAGUGAAAUUAAGGAAGUAUUUUUCAAAUACAACCAGGAAAUAGGCUUAGAAGCGGCCAUUUUUUGAAGACCUCGUAACAGAGCACUGGUUCAAUUAUAAAUUAAUGUAUAUUAAUUUAUAGAAGUUAAAAGCACCGAAAAUAUAACGGAUCUAAAACAAUAUACCGACACCUUGUCCAUUUUUAUUAGUAUUUGAUAAUAAAAACCGGAUAAAUACUUAAAUUUUUUAGUUAUCUGGUUUUUUUAAAAAUAUUGUAUUUAUGGGGUAGCGGAACGUUGGGGAAAUCUUGGAUUUUUACUUUUUAAGUAAAAAAAUUAGAUAACCCAAGUGAGAAUGCUGACAUGAGUAACGAAAAAGGGGAAUACCCUCGCCUUAAGCUUAUGGAAUUUCUUUAAAGUAACGGCCUCUAAGUUUAUAGACCUGCCCUAAAGGAUUAAGCGAUGAGAAAAUCUUUCUUAUGUAUGACAACCUUAAGAUUAAAGAACUUUAGAGUCCAGGGGUAAUCCCUAUGGGCUCCUCCCCCCCCCCUUCGGGAGGGAAGAGUCUAAAUAUCUUUAGUCAUAGAGUAUUAAGUGUUCUGGAAAAAAACAUAAGGGUGCCAAGUAUAAUGUUUACAUUAUAUUAUGGUAAAACCGUACCUAGAAACUACCACCAGUAAGCAAGUAGAGAAUACGAAGGCGUUUGAGCUAACAAUCAUCAAGGAACUCGGCAAAUUGACUCCGUAACUGCGGAAUAAGGAGUGCCAUUCUAACUGAUUAAUAUCAGGUUUAGAAGAGGAGGCACAGAAUGGUGUUGUACGACUGUUUAAUUAAAACACAGCACUUUGCGUAAGAUGACAAAUCGAAGUAUAAAGUGUGCCGUCUGCCCGAUGAUGGAUGGUUAACGAAUUUAUUUAGCUGACUAAAAUAGGCUAGGUUUUGAAGGAACCCCCAUUCAAUGGCGGCCUUAUCUAUAAGGGUCCUAAGGUAGCGGAAUACCUUGGCCGUUAAAUGCGGUCUUUGCAUGUUUUUCUCUUUAGUUUAGGUAACUAAAGUAAAGGAUUAACCUAUAAAUAAAAAAUAAGGGAAAAAUCUCUCCAAUCCUAGUUCCCUCAUGAGGGAUUUACCCCUCAGGUAAGGACCCUGAUAGGGACCUUCUCCUACGGGGAAAGUAUAAGAUUUUUUAAAUAUACCGUGUUAAUUAUUUUUAAUAAUGGUAUAACACUAAAUUUAGGAUAAAGAAAAUUAGGUAUUAAAAUUUAUAAUAAAUAUGAAAUCAGAUAGAUUAAAAACUAUAAAUAAUUUAAAGGAAUUAGUUCCUGCAAAUAAACUAGCUUUCAAGUACAUUAAUGAUGGUGUUAAUUAGAGACGUUAACAAUGUUAACGACACUAAAUUAUUUAACAGUAUAAAAGAUUGUAUAGCAUAUCUUAAUACAAUUACUUCUUCAAAUAGAACUUCCCCGGCGGCGCCGGGGAGGUUCCACGCCCCCGGAGGGGGCUAGAACUUCAAAAAAUAUAUUAAUAUGUUUUUUGAGGUUCCACGCCCUCUCUCUCUUACAGAGAGAGGGGGCUAGAACUACAUUAUUUAGACAUAUUGAAAGUAAAACACCAUAUCAUAACUAUAUUUGUGAGUGAUAUGGUAAUAAGGUAAGUCCUAUUAAAAAUAAAGCUAUGAAAUUAAUAUUACUAAUAUUAAUACUUCAGAAGUAGAAACAUUUUCUUCUUUCAGAAAAGCAGCUUUAUCUCUUUCUACUACUGGACCUACUCUUAAAACAUUUGCAGAUAACGGUAAAUUAUUCCAAGGUGUUUACAUGAUUACAUAUGUUAAUAGUGAUUUUGUAGAAUAAUCUAUUUAACUAUAUUUAAAUUAAGUAAUCAAAUCUAUGUGUUUGAUAAUAAAUUUACUUAAUUUAUGAUUUUAAUUAGUAAUAUACUUUUAGGAAUAAAGAGGAGAGAUCUUAUUUAGAUUAUGGGUAAUUCUCAAAUAAUCUCGAAUGUGCAACAAAAGAAGCAAACUCCGGAAACACCCUAAAGCUCUUUUAACCAAGGUUAUAUUGGCAACAUAUAACUGGCCUGAUUAAUGAUUCAGGGUAAGGUAAUAUCAAAUGAGAUGAAGGAAACUGAAAUGGGUUAUCGCGGAUCUAAGUCAGAUUGAGUUGGACGAUCUGUAAAAGAGCAACGAGCAGAUGCUUCUUCAGGAUUGGUUAUAUUUAUAAAUAUUACUUUGACUGUAAGGUGUGCUCUAGUCACCGGGAAACCGGCUCUUAGGAGAAACUAAGUAAUCUAAGAUUAAAGCUAUCACAACAAACCUAACCUAAGGGUAUUUUAAAUAUCUAAGGUAAAUGUUGUGAAACGGAAUGAUAAAACGAUACAACAGCUGUCUCAAUGAUUGGCUCAGUGAAAUUGAAAUAGCAGUGAAGAUGCUGCUUACCUCUAGUUAGACGAGAAGACCCUAUGCAGCUUUACUGUUGCUAGUUACUGGAUAUGAUUUAACAAGUUGUAGUGUAUAAGGUAAUUGUUGAAAUAAAAUUGAAACACCUUUACUUUGUUUGUCAUAUCAGUAGAAUACGCCUAUCAAAUAGUGACUCAUUGAUAGGCUAAGUCUACAAAGCUUAUCCAUAAAGGAAAAGGGGAUAUUUAAUAUAAUAGCCCGGGAAACAGUUGCUAGUGGACGGUUUAUGCGGGGCACAGAUCCCAUAAAAAGUACCUGGGUAUAUCCAAAGUUAAUUUUGUAAAAUUGCAAAUUGCAAUUGAAUGUAUAUUGUCUUGUUUUCUUUGAAAACAAGAUAUAUAUAUUCUAUAUUUAUUUUGUUAUUAGUUAUAUAUAUAACUAAUUCAGUUAUUUUUCUAUUGAGUUAGAGCUAUAUUUUUUAAUCUAAGUAAGAUUUUAACUAUAUGGGAAAUAGAUGUAAAAAAAACAUUAAUUAAAAUUAUUAGUAAUGUUUUUAGUUGUUAUAUUUGUAUGCUUUGGUUUAUUGCCAAAGAUAUUCUUAUAAUGAUUUUGAUAUUUACUUCAAAAGUUUAAUGGCUUAAUCUUGCUUUACUGUUUGACCUACACGUCUUUCAGUCGCAUAAGCGGGGCAUAAGAUCGCAAGACGCAGAAAGGAAAGGUCUUGUAUUAUUGAAAAAGCUACGCUAGGGAUAACAGGCUAAUUGCGCCAGAGAGUACAAAUUGAGUGCGCAGUUUGGCACCUCGAUGUCGGCUUAGCUCAUCCACAUGAAUGCAGGAAUCAUGAAGGGUACGACUGUUCGUCGAUUAAAGAGCUACACGAGCUGGGUUAAAUACGUCGUGAGACAGUAUGGUUUCUAUCUUCUAGAGGAAAUUAGAGUAAAAUAAGGAUAGCCCCUUCGUACGAAAGGAGUUGGGUAUGUUAACCUCUGGUUUACCUGUUGUUUAUACGCUUAAUAUUAGUCAUUGGCUUUGCCUUUGAAACAAAAUAGUCUGAUUUAUCAGAUUAUGGGUAUUGCUUUUACUCAAGUAAAUAUAUAUAGUAUAGGCAUGGCAGGAAAGCUAAGUUAGUUAAAGAUAAGUGCUGAAUGCAUAUAGGCACGAAACUUACCUUAGGAUACUCUUAAAUAUAUGUAGUAGAAUACUACGAAUAUUACUUUUUAAAGUAUUUAUAGGCUUUAGCUGAAAGAGUUUUAAUUCUUUUAGGUAUAAAGUACUAAUAUUAUUAU